UGCACCUCCUGCUCGGGCCCUGCUCGUGGUCCAGCCUCGUGGGCCCUGCCUCCUGCCCGCACCUUCUCUGCCCUGCUUUCGGAUCUCCCGUGUUCCCUGCUCUCCUGCAUCUCCUGCAUCUCCUGCCUGGCCCAGGCUGCUCCCCUCUGUCUGCACCCCGCCUCUUCUAUGUCGUGCUCGGCCUCCAGAACCCCACAUGGAGCACCCCCAUCCCGAGGCUUUUGGUGACUUCUCCCACCACCCUGUGUCCACCAUGCACCAUGGAGGUGAAGAAACUGAGGCUCAGAGAGAAAAGUGACCCCAACUUCUCACACCUGGCGAGCCCUCAAGACACACCAGGGCCCUGAGACUCCACAUCCCUUGUACCUGGUCAGCGUAAGGCUUCAUGGGAGGCUCUCUUCGUGGGGGGAGAAGGCCAAGGACACAGACCCGGGGACACCUACCUGGCAGGCUGAGAGGGGACAAACGUGUCCAUCUGCCUCACCUUCUCACCACCCGGUCAGUCACGCCUCGGUCCCUGAUUAAUCAAGAGAAGUGAGAUGUCCAGUCGGCUUCGGAUGUCGUGUGAGGAAAGACUAAUAAGAACUACCGCCCACGGGGCUGCAUCAUCCUUUCUGGGAUCAGCAAUGCAAGUGGACUCAGAGAACGUGCUACCGCGCAUGCUCGGAG